AACGAACGCUGGCGGCAGGCCUAACACAUGCAAGUCGAGCGGACCUUUCGGGGUCAGCGGCGGACGGGUGAGUAACGCGUGGGAAUAUGCCCUUCUCUACGGAAUAGUCCUGGGAAACUGGGGGUAAUACCGUAUACGCCCUUUGGGGGAAAGAUUUAUCGGGGAAGGAUUAGCCCGCGUUGGAUUAGGUAGUUGGUGGGGUAAUGGCCUACCAAGCCGACGAUCCAUAGCUGGUUUGAGAGGAUGAUCAGCCACACUGGGACUGAGACACGGCCCAGACUCCUACGGGAGGCAGCAGUGGGGAAUCUUAGACAAUGGGGGCAACCCUGAUCUAGCCAUGCAGCGUGAGUGAUGAAGGCCUUAGGGUUGUAAAGCUCUUUCAGCUGGGAAGAUAAUGACGGUACCAGCAGAAGAAGCCCCGGCUAACUCCGUG
rnacentral:rRNA from 1 species